ACAGAGGGUGCGAGCGUUAAUCGGAAUUACUGGGCGUAAAGGGCGCGUAGGCGGCCCGAUAAGUCGGAUGUGAAAGCCCCGGGCUCAACCUGGGAACUGCAUACGAUACUGUCAGGCUAGAGUAUGGUAGAGGUAAGCGGAAUUCCGGGUGUAGCGGUGAAAUGCGUAGAUAUCCGGAGGAACAUCAGUGGCGAAGGCGGCUUACUGGACCAAUACUGACGCUGAGGCGCGAAAGCGUGGGGAGCAAACAGG
rnacentral:rRNA from 1 species